GUGCUGAAACGCACAUCUGAAGGAGGAUUUAGCAGUAAGCAGGAAAUAGAGCGUCCCGCUGAAACUGGCCCUGAAGCGCGCACACACCGCCCGUCACUCUCCCCAAAACCCCCAUAACAGUUAAUUAAAACCUAAUAACCUAUAAAGGGGAGGCAAGUCGUAACAUGGUAAGUGUACCGGAAGGUGCGCUUGGAAAAU
rnacentral:rRNA from 1 species